rnacentral:rRNA from 1 species
AACGAACGCUGGCGGCAGGCCUAACACAUGCAAGUCGAACGAAGUCUUCGGACUUAGUGGCGCACGGGUGAGUAACACGUGGGAAUAUACCUUACGCUGGGGGAUAACAUCGGGAAACUGAUGCUAAUACCGCAUACGCCCUUCGGGGGAAAGAUUUAUCGGCGAAAGAUUAGCCCGCGUCCGAUUAGCUAGUUGGUGAGGUAGUGGCUCACCAAGGCUCCGAUCGGUAGCUGGUGUGAGAGGAUGACCAGCCACACUGGGACUGAGACACGGCGCAGACUCCUACGGGAGGCAGCAGUGGGGAAUAUUGGACAAUGGGCGCAAGCCUGAUCCAGCCAUGCCGCGUGAGUGAUGAAGGCCUUAGGGUUGUAAAGCUCUUUCACCCACGACGAUGAUGACGGUAGUGGGAGAAGAAGCCCCGGCUAACUUCGUG